GUGCGCUCUUCCAAUCUGUUUUAUUUAAUGGUAAAUAAAUGGUGUUUUCCUCACAACACCAGCCCCUCAAGGUCCUGGAAACCUUGCUUCCAAAAUACCCUAGAGACUUACUCUAUCCCUGACCCCCUCCCAACCUGAGGGUAUGUAAUGAGUUACCUGUCACAACCCCCUGCAGCUCCUUCUGCCCAUGGGUCCUGUCCCCAUGCUUUAACAAAAUCACUUUUUUGCACCAAAGACAUCUUCAAGAAUUCUUUCUUGGCCAUUGGCUCUGGACCACCGCAUCAUCACCCCAAACCCCCAUCA